UGGCUUUCGCAAGGUGGCUCCACCCGUUCCCAUUCCGAACACGGAAGUGAAACUCCUUAGCGCCGACGAUACUGGAGGGGAAGCCCUCUGUGGAAAAUAGGUCGCCGCC
rnacentral:rRNA from 1 species